GCAACAGAGCGAGACUCCGAGACUUCGUCUAAAGAAAAAAAAAAUAGUAUCUAUAGCUGUGUUCCUAUCACUUCCAUCACCGAUACUGUUGCCCUCAAACCUGAGGCAGGGUUAUCGUACUGAUCUCUUAGUAGGGGCAGUACAUACAGAAGUGAGGAGUGUAGGCUCAGCCCCCAUACUGCCUGGGUUUGAAAGUUAGCUCUGCCAGGUACGAGCAUUUGACCUUAUUCAGCGUAUAAUUGUAGUACCUAGGUUGCUGUGAGGUUUACAUGAGGUAAUAUAUCUGAAGUCCUUAGAAUAGUUUCUGGCACAUAACCAUAUCAAUAUUAACUAUGAUUGCAAUUAUAACAUUAUUUUUAUUAGAACAGUACUUGGCCUUUGGCAAGAACUCGAUAUUAGCGAUUUUAAAUGCGGUAGGAAAAAGUCCAUAGUUGCAAGCAUGCUCCCAAAUCCUUGAGUAAAGGUAGGAAGCUCAUUCUAGAGAAGGACUUUGCUGCCAGCCCAAUUCUAAGAAUUAACCAGUACCUGGCAAGAGUUCCAAGUAACCCAUGGAAGCACUCCAUGCUAGGCUUCAGCAUCAGUGAAAUUCAGUUUUAUAAUUGCAUCCAUUAACAUUAAGCAUUUUUCUUAUUUUAACCUGAUACCAGUGUUGCUGUCAGCAAGGGAAUGGGAUAGCCAACACUGAAGGACUGACUGUGAUCAAUUUCCCUGGGAGAUCAUAACAGCUCGUGACUGAUGCUCUGCUGCACUUCCAAGAGCCCUCUGCAGGAAUGAAGGUGACACAGGAGGCAAGACAAUUGGGGAACACAUGUCUGCCAUUCCUGGACUCUGCCAUUCCUGGACUCUGCCAUUCCUGGACUCUUGACACUGGCUCAUCAUUUCACUUUGGGAAGGACCAGUCCUCUCCAGCAGGGUUCUUCAAGAAACCGACAACCAGGACCAGAAAACAGACAGGAUCUCACUCUGUCACCCAGACUGGACUGUAGUGGC